AGCUGACCUCGAUGAUCAACUCGAAAACCGGUCGAACGGCCUUCACUAACAACAACUACCUGAAUCCUUCGAAUUGGCCGGUUUCGCGAGCCAGUUUGGUUGCAGAAAUGGGUGGUGCCUCGGAGACACCCACGUCGCGACUCUUCCUCGAGACUCGGACCAUCGCCCUGUCACAGUUGGAAGUCACAAGUACGCACUAGGUGCAAAUCGGGGGCAUGAAGAUCAUUUAAAAAUUAUUUGUAGAGGAGAAGGAUGAGGCACUCGACCUGUGCCAAGGAGAGAGGGCCCCUGGGGCUUACCUGAAGGUGAUACACGAUAGCCUCAGGCACACAGAUGCAACGACCGUGCUGAAGACAGACAGACGAAAUCCAUUUGAAACAACAGUUCCAGGCCCUUUCAAGCUCUUUCGGCAAUGCAUGCGAUCAAAACCUGGGUAUACUUGAUCUCCUACUGCUUUCUAUCUUACUUUGGGCUUUCUACGUCAAGAACAGAAAUUUUAACUGAUGGGUGAUUAUAGCAAGUUUUAUAUUUCUUACAUUCAUAGUAAGUCAGUAUCCACAACCUUCCCCUACCAACCAGCGUGCGUUUGGUGAGUCAAAUCCUAGACAACUUGGCUAUCGAGGCCUUCAGUAAUAAAGAUGUAAAUUCCAUUUGGAAGAAGCAUCAUCUAUUCUAAC